rnacentral:rRNA from 1 species
UCUACGGAGAGUUUGAUCCUGGCUCAGGAUGAACGCUGGCGGCGUGCUUAAUACAUGCAAGUCGAGCGACGAAAGCGCAAGGGGUAACCCUUGCGCCUGAAAGCGGCGAACGGGUGAGUAACACGUGGGCAACGUGCCCUGGACACCGGGAUAACAACGGGAAACCGUUGCUAAUACCGGAUAAACCCUGCGCUCCGCAUGGAAUGCAGGGCAAAGCUCCGGCGGUCUGGGAUCGGCCCGCGGCCUAUCAGCUUGUUGGUGGGGUAACGGCCCACCAAGGCGAUGACGGGUAGCUGACGUGAGAGCGUGACCAGCCACACUGGGACUGAGACACGGCCCAGACUCCUACGGGAGGCAGCAGUAGGGAAUCUUGCGCAAUGGGCGAAAGCCUGACGCAGCGACGCCGCGUGAGGGAUGAAUGCCUUCGGGUUGUAA